rnacentral:rRNA from 1 species
UGAAACCGUUCAGGGGUAAACCUGAGAAACCCGAAAGGUCGAAUGGGGAAAUUCAUUCGCGUUUCGAUUGUCGGCGAUGAGCGGUUGUGUGACGAACGAAGCGCGGCUAUACGUCGUUAUUCGUUCGCGCCUUCAGUUUUUCGAACCGACUUCGAACGCGUGCACUUUUCCCCUAGUAGGACGUCGCGAUCCGUUGGGUGUCGAUCUAAGGUCUGCGGUGGAGCUCGCGUAGAUACGUUUCGGCGUCGCUACUCGAACCCGCAGUGUCCCGAUCGACUCGCUCGACGGUAUAACGAUGGCGCGGGGCCGCUCAUUAGUUAGCGUUCGACCUACGGCAAGCACGUUCGGUAUUCAAAGAUUGACGGCGAUCAGACCUGGUCGGAUCCCGUCCCCGGACGACUGUUGGCUUGUAGUGUUCUCGAACAGACCUCGUUGAAACGCCGAUCUGCGACGCUAUAGCUUUGGGUACUUUCAGGACCCGUCUUGAAACACGGACCA